GAUGAAGAACGUAGCGAAAUGCGAUAAGUAAUGUGAAUUGCAGAAUUUAGUGAAUCAUCGAAUCUUUGAACGCACAUUGCGCCCCCUGGUAUUCCGGGGGGCAUGCCUGUUCGAGCGUCAUUUCAACCCUCAAGCUCUGCUUGGUAUUGGGCGUCGCCGGGGAGUCUCCCCGGCGUGCCUCAAAGCCAUCGGCGGUGGUGCCUUUCUCUAAGCGUGGUAGAAUUUUUAUUCGCUUCUGAGUUGGGCUUCGCCUGCCGGACAAACCGGGCCCUCGCGGCCCACCUUCUCAGGUUGACCUCGGAUCAGGUAGGGAUACCCGCUGAACUUAAGCAUAUCAAUAAGCGGAGGA
rnacentral:misc_RNA from 1 species